GCAUCUAAGCGCGAAGCCCCCCUCAAGAUGAGAUUUCCCACUGGCUAGACCAGGUAAGACCCCUUGUAGAUGACAAGGUAGAUCGGUCCGAGGUGUAAGCGUGGCAACACGUUCAGCUGACGGAUACGAAUCGGUCGAGGACUUCUCCU
rnacentral:rRNA from 1 species